rnacentral:rRNA from 1 species
CCUAGGGGGGCAGCAGUGGGGAAUAUUGGACAAUGGGCGAAAGCCUGAUCCAGCCAUGCCGCGUGUGUGAAGAAGGCCUUCGGGUUGUAAAGCACUUUCAGUGGGGAAGAAAGCCUUGGGGCUAAUACCCUCGAGGAAGGACAUCACCCACAGAAGAAGCACCGGCUAACUCCGUGCCAGCAGCCGCGGUAAUACGGAGGGUGCGAGCGUUAAUCGGAAUUACUGGGCGUAAAGCGCGCGUAGGCGGUCUGAUAAGCCGGUUGUGAAAGCCCCGGGCUCAACCUGGGAACGGCAUCCGGAACUGUCAGGCUAGAGUGCAGGAGAGGAAGGUAGAAUUCCCGGUGUAGCGGUGAAAUGCGUAGAGAUCGGGAGGAAUACCAGUGGCGAAGGCGGCCUUCUGGACUGACACUGACGCUGAGGUGCGAAAGCGUGGGUAGCAAACAGGAUUAGAUACCCCGGUAGUC